GUGAACGCUGGCGGUAGGCCUAACACAUGCCAGUCGAACGGCAGCACAGUAAGAGCUUGCUCUUACGGGUGGCGAGUGGCGGACGGGUGAGGAAUACAUCGGAAUCUACUUUUUCGUGGGGGAUAACGUAGGGAAACUUACGCUAAUACCGCAUACGACCUACGGGUGAAAGCAGGGGAUCUUCGGGCCUUGCGCGAUUGAAUGAGCCGAUGUCGGAUUAGCUAGUUGGCGGGGUAAAGGCCCACCAAGGCGACGAUCCGUAGCUGGUCUGAGAGGAUGAUCAGCCACACUGGAACUGAGACACGGUCCAGACUCCUACGGGAGGCAGCAGUGGGGAAUAUUGGACAAUGGGCGCAAGCCUGAUCCAGCCAUACCGCGUGGGUGAAGAAGGCCUUCGGGUUGUAAAGCCCUUUUGUUGGGAAAGAAAAGCAGCAGGUUAAUACCCCGCUGUUCUGACGGUACCCAAAGAAUAAGCACCGGCUAACUUCGUG
rnacentral:rRNA from 1 species